CACAGCACGUUAAGAAAAGUGAAUGUGAUCUGCUUCUCUGGAAGUAAAGCUUUCCCAAUCAGACGAAUGCUAGCAUUCAGUGAGGUUCUAAAAGAGAGAGAAUUUCUGUGUACUUGCACCUGGAGCUGAGAGUCAAAUGAACAUGGCCUCCCCUCCCCUCAAGCCUUGUUAUACAUAUGCGAACAUGUACAGCUCCCUACUUCAUAUAGAAAAUCUCUGUAAGAGGUUGCUUGCUGGCCUUCUCUUUUUGACAGAAGAAGAUAAAUACAGGGCUGCCUCCUCCAGUCUGGUUAAUAAAUAUUCACUGAGACACCUUACAGAGAGAUCUGAUCUGGAUUCUGGAGACAUCAGGCAGCCUGACUGAACCAUGGAGAUUGAGAUCAGCAGAAGGUGGUACUUCCUUGCUGUUUUUUGUGCGUCAGUUGAAAUUGCUCUUUCAGUUAGAUUUGAGGAAUUUGAAGAAGAUACCUGAAGCGGAAUACAGAGAAAUAGGGAGAAAACUGCAGAUGGGAAGGAGACAGGUUUUGUAUCUCUCCACUUGGUAUAAUCAGUUUAAGACAGAUCUUCUUUUCCGCUUGGGGA
rnacentral:lncRNA from 1 species